ACUCAAAGGAAUUGACGGGGGCCCGCACAAGCAGCGGAGCGUGUGGUUUAAUUCGACGCAACACGCAGAACCUUACCCAGAUUUGACAUGCAGCUGCAGGCUCCGGAAAGGGAGCGGCCUUCGAGGGUGCUGCACAGGUGCUGCAUGGCUGUCGUCAGCUCGUGUCGUGAGAUGUUGGGUUAAGUCCCGCAACGAGCGCAACCCUUGCGGUCAGUUAUUCGUGUCUGACCGGACUGCCCUUCGGGGAGGAAGGUGGGGAUGACGUCAAGUCCGCAUGGCCCUUACGUCUGGGGCGACACACACGCUACAAUGCCGGCGAUAAUGCGCUGCGACACCGCAAGGUCAAGCGAAUCGCCAAACGCCGGCCCAGUGCAGAUUGGGGGCUGAAACCCGCCCCCAUGAAGGCGGAGUUGCUAGUAACCGCGCAUCAGCGAUGGUGCGGUGAAUACGUACCCGGGCCUUGUACACACCGCCCGU
rnacentral:rRNA from 1 species